rnacentral:rRNA from 1 species
UACGAAGGGGGCUAGCGUUGCUCGGAAUGACUGGGCGUAAAGGGCGCGUAGGCGGUUUGUACAGUCAGGUGUGAAAUUCCCGGGCUCAACCUGGGGGCUGCACUUGAUACGCAUGGACUUGAGUGAGGAAGAGGGUCGUGGAAUUCCCAGUGUAGAGGUGAAAUUCGUAGAUAUUGGGAAGAACACCGGUGGCGAAGGCGGCGACCUGGUCCUUUUACUGACGCUGAGGCGCGAAAGCGUGGGGAGCAAACAGG